rnacentral:lncRNA from 1 species
CACCUCGGACUCGCCCGGAGCUCCGCCCUUCCCUUAGCCCACCUGGACGGAAAGGAAACGGACGGGCAGCUCGGGCCACGCCUCUCACUGUGGGCCCCGCGACAUUUCCGGGCUGGGAGAAGCCGAAGCCCGUAACCUCCAGUUCCCCGCAGCUUGAGGCCACCAGCGCCUGGAGAUUUUCAAACACACUCAAAGAGCUGGGAGGAGCCUGGCGGGGCCACGAAGGAGGGCAGUACUGACUCAUCACGAACCUCCAGGGCCCGGAGCCAGGGCGGCCUGGGCCCAGAGCCUCAGUCCCCUGCAGCCAGGAACUACUCCAAGGAGAUGCUGGGAAGUAGCCUGGGAAUGGCCAUCCCUCUCCCAUCAUUUCUCUUCCCUCAAUCCUGCUUCAGCUUCUGUCAGCCUGUGAAGGUCCUGCAGAGUGAGGUUAAGCCUUCCACAGUUCUGAGAUUACAAGCAUGCACCGCCAUGCCCAGCUGGAGCCCACCUUUGUGCACAUCCUUGCCACACACCCUGCUGCGCCUGAUGGUCUUCUGGGAUGUUUACAACGCCGAUCACUUUAUGAAUAUGAAUCCUCUGUCCUCAUCAAGACUGUGCCUGCCUAAAGAAGACAGUUUGGUGGAAGUAGCUUCCCAUACUUCCUGUGGGACCUGGGGUUACUUAGCGCUGUUGAGUCUGGCAAUAACCAGUGUUUGUACCAAUGUCCUCCACUGUGAGCGGGGGUCCCUAAACAAUACCCUCCAGAGUGAGAAUUAUACCCUAGACUUCUCUAUUCCUCACUGAACCCAGGAGGGGAUCGCACCUGACUGACCAUCUCAAAAAAGAACCAGAAC